GACGGAGGGUGCAAGCGUUGUUCGGAAUUACUGGGCGUAAAGGGCUCGUAGGUGGCCAACUAAGUCAGACGUGAAAUCCCUCGGCUUAACCGGGGAACUGCGUCUGAUACUGGAUGGCUUGAGAUUGGGAGAGGGAUGCGGAAUUCCAGGUGUAGCGGUGAAAUGCGUAGAUAUCUGGAGGAACACCGGUGGCGAAGGCGGCAUCCUGGACCAACACUGACACUGAGGAGCGAAAGCCAGGGGAGCAAACGGG
rnacentral:rRNA from 1 species